UACGUAGGGUGCAAGCGUUGUCCGGAAUUAUUGGGCGUAAAGAGCUCGUAGGCGGUUUGUCGCGUCUGCUGUGAAAACCCGAGGCUCAACCUCCAGCCGUCGACGGAAACCGUGUGGCUAGAGUCCGGAAGAGGAGAGUGGAAUUCCUGGUGUAGCGGUGAAAUGCGCAGAUAUCAGGAAGAACACCAAUGGCGAAGGCAGCUCUCUGGGACGGUACUGACGCUGAGACGCGAAAGCGUGGGGAGCGAACAGG
rnacentral:rRNA from 1 species